GAUUACUGUAUACAAAGGGAAGAGGGUCUUCAGGAUUUGAAGAGGCAUCAUCGGUGUUGUGCUUCCCAGCAUGCCCUAGCAUUCCUUCAAACAAACGUUCACUGUAGCAGAAAGUCCAAGAAAAGGCUUACUCCCUUGAGGAUCAAGAAGAAAGCAACAGUGAAGAAAGGACCAAUAGCAGCAUGGAGAAUACGGAAAGCAGACAAAGAGGAAAAUGAGGAGGUGGAGGUGAGCAGAAGGCAGCUCAGAAAAUUGCACAAGCUGUGAGGAGUUUUUUCGUCUAGACACUCAUGCACAGCAAAGGGAGCGACUGCCAUCUGCAUCUCCUCUGAAAAAAGGAAGGGAGAAAAGGGACAGAGCUGAGACAAAAAAAGAAAUCCACCUGCAUGCCUCUCGUUUUGGCUGUGGUAUGGCUGAUCCAUGCUGAAUGCCUGCUGUGGGAGGGGAGAGAAAGCUAGUGGAGGUAUUGUUGUGUCUAAGGAGGCACAACAUUAGAGAGCGUGCGAAUCCUCAUGCAUCGCUCUGUCCUACUGACACAGUGGGAAGGGGAGGGAGGAAACUAUUUUAGUCCUGUUGAGGCUGCUAAAGACUAAAAAUGGAAGUAAUUAAAGGCCUAUUCUAGUCUCACUUAAAUCUCUGAGUCUUCAGGCCAGAGUUAUUUUUGUUGCAUCGCUCUAAUGGUGUUGCAUUGAUGUUUAGACGGGGUUGGAUUUUUUUAUAUUUUUUUUUAACCUGAAUUUAGGAAAUGAGCCAGCACUUUCUGUGGCAAUGCACUCACUUUGCUGAAAUUUUGCCUGCGAAAUGUUGUUCGGGUCCCAGGAGGAAUUUUGCUAAAUUGCAAGCAGUCCCAGCAUAGCCAGUGUUUGGGCAGCUGGGUUGCUGCCUUACGUUGUGGAAAGGGCAGGCUUGAGUCCCAGCAUUAGCUGGUCCAAAUCUAGACUGGAAAUAAG